rnacentral:rRNA from 1 species
UUUAUGGAGAGUUUGAUCCUGGCUCAGGAUGAACGCUGGCGGCGUGCCUAAUACAUGCAAGUCGAGCGAACGGACGAGAAGCUUGCUUCUCUGAUGUUAGCGGCGGACGGGUGAGUAACACGUGGAUAACCUACCUAUAAGACUGGGAUAA